rnacentral:rRNA from 1 species
AGUGAACGCUGGCGGUAGGCCUAACACAUGCAAGUCGAACGGCAGCACAGUAAGAGCUUGCUCUUACGGGUGGCGAGUGGCGGACGGGUGAGGAAUACAUCGGAAUCUACUUUUUCGUGGGGGAUAACGUAGGGAAACUUACGCUAAUACCGCAUACGACCUACGGGUGAAAGCAGGGGAUCUUCGGACCUUGCGCGAUUGAAUGAGCCGAUGUCGGAUUAGCUAGUUGGCGGGGUAAAGGCCCACCGAGGCGACGAUCCGUAGCUGGUCUGAGAGGAUGAUCAGCCACACUGGAACUGAGACACGGUCCAGACUCCUACGGGAGGCAGCAGUGGGGAAUAUUGGACAAUGGGCGCAGGCCUGAUCCAGCCAUACCGCGUGGGUGAAGAAGGCCUUCGGGUUGUAAAGCCCUUUUGUUGGGAAAGAAAAGCAGCAGGUUAAUACCCCGCUGUUCUGACGGUACCCAAAGAAUAAGCACCGGCUAACUUCGUG